rnacentral:misc_RNA from 1 species
UCACCCCUCAAGCCCUGUGCUUGGUGUUGGACGGCCGGUCGAGCGAUCGACCCCUCCUAAAGACAAUGACGGCGGCCUGUGGUUCCCCCGGUACACUGAGCUUUUCACCGAGCACGUAUCGGACAAGGGCACCCGGGACCCGGUCCUCUCCUUUAAAAAGGAAACUUCUAU